AAGCAGCUUAGGUGCCUUUCCACGAUGUGGAAGCUUUGUUCUUAGCAAUAAAUCUUGCUGCUGCUUAUUCUUUGGGUCUGCACUACCUUUAUGACUGUAACACUCACCGCGAAGGUCUGCAGCUUCACUCCUGCAGUCAGCGAGACCAGCAACCCACCGGGAGGAGCAAAGCGUGCCAGAAGUGUGCCACGUUUAAGAGCUGUAACACUCACUGCGAAAGUCUGCGGCUUCAUUCCUGAAGUCAGCAAGACCAUGAACCCACCAGGAGGAAGGAACAACUCUGCACGUGCCAUCUUUGAGAGCUGUAACAUUCACUGAGAAGGUCUGCAGCUUCACUCCUGAAGUCAGCAAGACCAAGGACCCAUCAGAAGAAAAAAACUUGGGACACAUCUGAACAUCUGAAGGAACAAACUCCCGACACACCAUCUUUAAGAACUGUAACACUCACCACGAGGGUCCGCGGCUUCAUUCUUGAAGUCAGCGAGACCAAGAACCCACGGAAGGAACCAAUUCCGGACACAAGAGAUUCUAAAGCACCAUCCUCAGAGAUGUGACUGGGAUGAUCAGAAAUACGGCCCUGAGUGUCACACUUUUUAACAAGUUUGCCAGAAGAUUCUUUGAGAAUCACCUCUUUACUAGGUGAAUGUCUUCUUCAUUUUCCCUCAAGCUCCAUGAGGUCAAGGACCAUAUCUACUUUGCUCAUCAUUGAAUUCCCAGUGCCUUCAAAGCACAGUAUUUAGCAAAUGGAAGGUACUCAACAAAUAUCUGUCAAAGGAAGGAAAGAGGAGGAAGUUACAGUCAUAUUCAAAACUAAAAACAUACACACAUAGAAGGUGAAGAAGCAAAGCAGGGAAUUAAAUAACUGCUUGAACGGUUGAAUUCACCAAGUAACAGAGCAACAGUUCCAGGAUAUGAGAAAUAAAUCUGUGUGUUCCAACGCCAUUGAAGAAGGCACUUGGAAAUAAGUGACUUUUAAAAACUAUAGAAUUUAGGGGGGAGAAGUAGAGGAGAGAUGGAAUUUCUGGUAGAGAAAACUUUGUGAAUAAAGGCAUAGAAGUAAAUGAGUGGUGAAUGAGGUGCGAAGAGCUUUUCAUCUUACUCCAAAGUAUGCAAAUAAAGAGAGCCAUCCUGCAGCUCUAGCCCCAUCCCUUAAAUCCAGACCACUCUCCUUCUCCACUACCCUGUGCCAUGCAGCCCCCGGGCAGCUGCCGUGAUGGAGCAUCCCACCCAGGCUGAGAGCCCCACGACUCCAGCGUUCUCACCGGUGCUUGGCGAGGCCCUGGUGCUUAAUGGAGGUCCCAGGCCUGGGGCAUGCCGCAAAUGGGCUUCAAAGAGAGCAUCACGGGUCUUCUCAGCACCGCGCUCACCGGAGACAGCAAAUUACAAGCUGAAAAUUCACUACGUUUGUGAAAACCCUGAAUUUAUUUAGACAAAAGCAGAUGGAUAAUCUUGUUACAUUUCAGCACACCACACUUUAUUCAGAGGAAAUGAAACAACGCAUUACGCGUUCCUUUCUUUCCAUCUGCUCUCCCUUCCCUAAGUUCAGGUUUAUUAUUAAUAAAAUGAACUUAUCCUGCCUCCCUUUCCAUUCCAUUAGCCUUUACUCCUAAUUAAGUUUUGCUCACGUUGUCCUUUUCAGUGUCUCAGCAACUCUUUUUUCAACAUAGCUAUUUUCCCCCAGACCUCAAAUCAUUUCUACAGAUGAACUGCUGCCACCAGGAAUAUAAAAUGUCUUUAUCAAAUUAUAAUUUUUCUCAAAUGUUAAGAAAUUAUCUAGGCCCUUCUGUUCCUCCAAAGCAGGUCUGACUUGAAGGACAGAUUCUGCAGAGGAUUAGAAUCAACUCUUGACUUGAAUUUUUGGGAGGAGGAGGCAGGAGUCAUCUUCCUCUGAUUCCAAGCAGCUUGACCUUGGUUAGUUCACUAUUAGCCGGAUUAUUCACUUUCCCACUGCCCUCCAUCCACCACUGGUUUGUUUAUUUCCUUUCCCAAAACAAAUGUAAUGAAUGGGUACAGAAAGUGUCUCGAGAAAAACCCACUCUAAAAUUAGCUGGGCAUGGUGGUGAGCGCCUUUAAUCCCAGCUACUCAGGAAGCUGAAGCAGGAAAAUCACUUGAACCUGGGAGGUGGUGGUUGCAGUGAGCCGAAAUCGCACCACUGCACUCCAGCCUGGGCAACAGAGCUAGACUCUGCCAAAAAAGAAAAAAAAAAAAAGAAAAAAGAAAAACCCACUCAAAAAAAAAAAAUGCCAAGGGUGGUGGUGGCUCACACCUGUAAUCCCAGGUGCGAGGCUGAGGCAGGAAGAUCGCUUGAGCCUAGGAGUUCAAGGCCAGCCUGGGCAAUAUAGUGAGACCCCCAUCUCUAGAAAUAAAUAAAUAAAUAAAAGAAACAAAUGAAAAGCCCAAGCCUCAGAGACAGUAAAGACAGAAAAUAUGAUUGUCAAAAAAGUGCUGAGAUGGAUUCAGUGAGUCAAAGACAAGUCACCAGCCCUCCCUAAACUCCAGUCCACGUUCAAACAGGUUGGAAUUUGUAGCAUUUCUGUUCAUAACCACGGCAGCUGGGAAAGCAGAUUGUGCAUGUGGCAUUGUUGUCAACUUCUCUGGCCUGAGGAGUCUGAGUGUAGCUACUGCAAUCUCUACCCCAGGCAUUUUCCAGACCCCUUGGCACUCUGGUCAUUUUCCAGACCCCAGGCAGGCAUGACUCAAUGCCACUGUCCCUCAGGCCAACAUUCCUUUAGGUCAUGUAUGUGCCUGCCUGGGAGAGGGAAUUCUUCCUGGGGUUCGAAAGAGUGUGCUCUGGAAUCUUGACUCUUGCAGUCAAAUCCCAGCUCUGCCUCCACCUACCAGGGCAGACUUGAUCCAGUGAAUUUGUGCCUCUGUUUCCUCACCUGUAAAACAGGGCUAAAGAUCCAAACCUACUUCAUGGAAUUACUGCAAAGAUUGAUGUGAGAAAGUCUGACAAGCACUCAGCACAGGGCCUGGCACAUGAGUGUGCAGAAAAUAUUGACUGUCGUUACUAAUGGCAACUGUUGAGACUCUGAUACGAUUCAGGGAAAACUUCAGGUGUCCUGAUUUGACCCCAGCUCAUGACGGCAUACUUACUUCUGCACCCUAAGAUCUAGGAAAGCCACAUACAACUCAAGCCACAGUAGCUUACACCAGAUAUUAAGGAGAUCGAAAUGUCUCUCGGGUCAGUUCCAUAGUCCACUCAACUGAGGAACCGUCAUGCUGAUGGAGGUUUUCAGGUAAAUUUGAGUAUUAUCAUGAUUCUUCUCCUGGACACCAAACAAACCACAAAGGAAGUUACUCUUGACUACCUUACUUCAACCCUCCUGGAGUUUAUUCAUGUUUUCAGUUAGAAUUUCUUUCCUGUGGCAUUGCAUUGCUAAUAACGCCAGGUGAGACUGGUGUUAAGCAUGGGUCAAGGAAGUCUGCUAUUGGUGUUUCGAAAAUCAGCAAGUAAAAUCCAUCCACUGCCCUCCACAAUGCUAGGACCCAGAUCACAGGGAAGCUGACCUGGCCUCUGGCCUUUCACUCUAAUUGACUGUGGGCUUCCCCAUGGCUGACCUCUGAAAUCACCAAGCUAUGGCAACUCGGACACUGAAGCCCUGAUUAACGAGCUUUUCUGGAGCGCUUUACCUGUUACCUGUUUUGUACCUUGAGCAAGACACCUCUCUGACCAGGUGCUGUCCUUCCUCAAAGCAGGGGUGGAGCAAGCUGCUCAGGUCAGCCCCUGAGGCUGAUACUGCACUCUCAAUGAAUGGCAGAGUCACUCCUGCCUUUUUCACAGCCUUUGAAAGGUUCUGGAAUGAACCCACAUAAACUACUGCUUGCAGAACGGAUGGGCGAGUUCUUUACGACUCUGCUCCUGGGCUCUUAGUAAGCACACAUUUUCCCAAACUUAAAUCUUCUAAAUUGGAGUUGCCACCUUUAAAGGGUAAGCUGACCCAAUGUCCUUGCUGGUCAAAGAAAUUUUUUGCAAAUGCAGAAAAAUACUUAACACUUUCCUUUUCAGACACAGGAUGAAAGAGGGCACAAAUAGGUCAGAAUAUUGGCUUAAAUCAAAUUGUGGGAGCCGUUUGAAUUUACUUUUAUAGAUAGAAAAACUGGAAAACGUCAGUCCCUCCUACUUCCUCCUUCUGCCUAUGUCUCUCACUCAGCCAUUACAUGGAUGUGCUCUGGGGCCUCAGAAUCUUCCAGGCAGACUGCCCUCCCCACUAAGCAGGCAUGAUCUGGACACACUGAAGCAGAAAGGCAUGCCCCUUCAUAAAAGUCUGCCCCCAGUGCAGUGAUUAAGGCAGGACAAAAUGUCACCGCAGUGUUCCACCAGCACCUAUGCCUCUCUGUCCCUAGGCUGUGCACCCACCCAGGCCAGCCGCAUCACUUAGGUAACAGCAAAUGUGAGCAUCGCUGGUUGCUGUGGGAGGUAGAAAGACAGUGAAAGAAUACCUCUGACCUGGAAGACUGUGCUGUCUUGGAGGGAUCCAGGGUAUAGUCCUAGAGAAACAACUUUAGGGCACUAAAGGCAAAUAACAUAAAAUCUAGGGCUCUGGAGCCAGAGUCCCUGAGUUCAAAUCCUGUCUGCAUAAUUGUAUGAGCUUAGAGAAACUGCAUUCCUUCCCUGUCCCUAAAACCUCAUAGGGUAGUUAUAAGGAAAAUUCUGAAUAUGAAAAGUAUUCAGUACAGUCUUGAUUUUUAAAACUCUUAUUGAAAAACUCAACCAUCUCACAUUACUGCCUGCCAACAGCUUUCGCUCCCAGAAGGAAGAAGACCCAACCUCCCUUCAUAGGACUGCACAACCUCCCCCUGCCACCUCUGUGGUCUUAGUUCCCCAACUCUCACCCUUGCUCACUCAGCCUCAGUCACGCUGGACUUCUUCUGCUCAAACACACAGGCCUUCCUCCCACGGCAGCACCACCACUCUGUCGGCAUCUCCAUCCUGAGUGCUCUCAUCGCCUCCCCAAGCCCCUCACCACUACCGCUCUUCUCUCGGCUUAUUCCCUAACUCUAUUCAAUGCCGUCUUUUCCGUGACCACUUUUUCUAGAAUAAGAAUGUACCUUGCUUGCUGGUUUGGACGUGGAGAAAGGGAAACCCUUGUCCACUGUUGGUGGGAAUGUAAAUCAAUAUAGCCACUACAGGAAACAGUGUGGAGAUUUCUAAAAAAAAAAAAAGCUAAAAACAGAACUACCAUACAAUCCUACAGUCCUACCACUGUGUAUCUAUCCAAAGGAAAAAGAAUUCAGCGUAUUAAAGGGAUACCUGCACUCACUUAUUUAUUUACUUUUUACUUUUUAUUGAUUUAAUUAUACUUUAAGUUCUAGGGUACAUGUGCACAACGUGCAGGUUUGAUACAUAGGUAUACAUGUGCCAUGUUGGUUUGCUGCACCCAUCAACUCAUAAUUUACAUUAGGUAUUUCUUCUAAUGCCAUCCCUCCCCCAACACCCACCCCCUAGCAGGCACCAGUGUGUGAUGUUCCCCGUCCUGUGUCUAAGUGAUCUCAUUGUUCAGUUCCCACCUAUGAGUAAGAACAUGCAGUGUUCGGUUUUCUGUCCUUGCGAUAGUUUGCUCAGAAUGAUGGUUUCCAGCUUCAUCCAUGUCCCUACAAAGAACAUGAACUCAUCUGUUUUUAUGGCUGCAUAGUAUUCCAUGGUGUAUAUGUG
rnacentral:lncRNA from 1 species